ensembl:lncRNA
GGCCUGUCUUCAUGCUCCACCAACCAGGGCCUGUCUCCAUGCUCCACCAACCAGGCCCUGUCCCUAUGCUGCAUCAACCAGGCCUUGUCUUCAUGCUCCACCAACCAGGGCCUGUCCCCAUGCUCCACCAACCAGGCCUUGUCUUCAUGCUGCACCAACCAGGGCCUGUCUCCAUGCUCCACCAACCAGGGCCUGUCUCCAUGCUCCACCAACCAGGGCCUGUCUCCAUGCUCCACCAACCAGGGCCUGUCUCCAUGCUCCACCAACCAGGGCCUGUCUCCAUGCUCCACCAACCAGGGCCUGUCUCCAUGCUCCACCAACCAGGGCCUGUCUCCAUGCUCCACCAACCAGGCCUUGUCUUCAUGCUCCACCAACCAGGGCCUGUCCCCAUGCUCCACCAACCAGGGCCUGUCCCCAUGCUCCACCAACCAGGCCUUGUCUUCAUGCUCCACCAACCAGGCCUUGUCUUCAUGCUCCACCAACCAGGGCCUGUCCCCAUGCUCCACCAACCAGGCCUUGUCUUCAUGCUGCACCAACCCAGGGCCUGUCUUCAUGCUCCACCAACCAGGGCCUGUCUCCAUGCUCCACCAACCAGGCCCUGUCCCUAUGCUGCAUCAACCAGGCCUUGUCUUCAUGUUCCACCAACCAGGGCCUGUCCCCAUGCUCCACCAACCAGGCCUUGUCUUCAUGCUGCACCAACCCAGGGCCUGUCUUCAUGCUGCACCAACCCAGGGCCUGUCUUCAUGCUGCACCAACCCAGGGCCUGUCUUCAUGCUGCACCAACCCAGGGCCUGUCUUCAUGCUCCACCAACCAGGGCCUGUCUUCAUGCUCCACCAACCAGGGCCUGUCUUCAUGCUCCACCAACCAGGGCCUGUCUUCAUGCUCCACCAACCAGGGCCUGUCUUCAUGCUCCACCAACCAGGGCCUGUCCCCAUGCUCCAGCAACCAGGCCUUGUCUUCAUGCUCCACCAACCAGGGCCUGUUUUCAUGCUCCACCAACCAGGCCCUGUCCCCAUGCUGCACCAACCAGGCCUUGUCUUCAUGCUCCACCAACCAGGCCUUGUCUCCAUGCUCCACCAACCAGGGCCUGUCUCCAUGCUCCACCAACCAGGGCCUGUCUCCAUGCUCCACCAACCAGGGCCUGUCUCCAUGCUCCACCAACCAGGGCCUGUCUCCAUGCUCCACCAACCAGGGCCUGUCUUGGUUCAAGUCAGGAUUUGAAAUGAACAUAAAAGAAUAGGUGAUAUGCACAUCCUAAACUUGAGUAUAAACAGAAUAUUUGCUACUUUAUUAAAGUAGCUCCCUAGACCUCUGUCUUGUUCUAUUUCCAUAUUGUGUGUGUGUGUGUGGCCCCCUCUGUAAAGGUUAAUUCUAUAUCCUGUCUGGCAUAAGUGCUGUA